GAUGAACGCUAGCGGCAGGCUUAAUACAUGCAAGUCGAGGGGCAGCAGUUUUGUAGCAAUACAGAAGCUGGCGACCGGCAAACGGGUGCGGAACACGUACGCAACCUUCCUGUAACUGGGAGAUAGCCCACCGAAAGGUGGAUUAAUAUCCCAUAAUAUAACUGAAUGGCAUCAUUUAGAUAUUAAAUCUCCGGCGGUUAAAGAUGGGCGUGCGUCUGAUUAGGUAGUUGGAGGGGUAACGGCCAACCAAGCCUUCGAUCAGUAGCUGAUGUGAGAGCAUGAUCAGCCACACGGGCACUGAGACACGGGCCCGACUCCUACGGGAGGCAGCAGUAAGGAAUAUUGGUCAAUGGACGCAAGUCUGAACCAGCCAUGCCGCGUGGAGGAUGAAGGCCCUCUGGGUUGUAAACUUCUUUUCUUUGGGACGAAACCCCUGUUUCUACGGGGACUGACGGUACCAGAGGAAUAAGCACCGGCUAACUCCGUGCCAGCAGCCGCUGUAA
rnacentral:rRNA from 1 species